rnacentral:rRNA from 1 species
CCAUGCUUCCAGGAAAAGCCUCUAAGCUUCAGAUAGUCAGGAAUCGUACCCCAAACCGACACAGGUGGUCGGGUAGAGAAUACCAAGGCGCUUGAGAGAACUCGGGUGAAGGAACUAGGCAAAAUGGUACCGUAACUUCGGGAGAAGGUACGCUCUUGAUGGUGAAGUCCCUCGCGGAUGGAGCUGACGAGAGUCGCAGAUACCAGGUGGCUGCAACUGUUUAUUAAAAACACAGCACUGUGCAAAAUCGCAAGAUGACGUAUACGGUGUGACGCCUGCCCGGUGCCGGAAGGUUAAUUGAUGGGGUUAGCGCAAGCGAAGCUCUUGAUCGAAGCCCCGGUAAACGGCGGCCGUAACUAUAACGGUCCUAAGGUAGCGAAAUUCCUUGUCGGGUAAGUUCCGACCUGCACGAAUGGCGUAAUGAUGGCCACGCUGUCUCCACCCGAGACUCAGUGAAAUUGAAAUCGCUGUGAAGAUGCAGUGUACCCGCGGCUAGACGGAAAGACCCCGUGAACCUUUACUACAGCUUGGCACUGAACAUUGAACCUACAUGUGUAGGAUAGGUGGGAGGCUAUGAAGACGUGACGCCAGUUGCGUUGGAGCCGUCCUUGAAAUACCACCCUUGUAUGUUUGAUGUUCUAACUUAGACCCAUUAUCUGGGUUGAGGACAGUGCCUGGUGGGUAGUUUGACUGGGGCGGUCUCCUCCCAAAGAGUAACGGAGGAGCACGAAGGUGGGCUAAUCACGGUUGGACAUCGUGAGGUUAGUGCAAUGGCAUAAGCCCGCUUAACUGCGAGAAUGACGGUUCGAGCAGGUGCGAAAGCAGGUCAUAGUGAUCCGGUGGUUCUGUAUGGAAGGGCCAUCGCUCAACGGAUAAAAGGUACUCCGGGGAUAACAGGCUGAUACCGCCCAAGAGUUCAUAUCGACGGCGGUGUUUGGCACCUCGAUGUCGGCUCAUCACAUCCUGGGGCUGAAGUCGGUCCCAAGGGUAUGGCUGUUCGCCAUUUAAAGUGGUACGCGAGCUGGGUUUAGAACGUCGUGAGACAGUUCGGUCCCUAUCUGCCGUGGGCGUUGGAAGAUUGAAGGGGGCUGCUCCUAGUACGAGAGGACCGGAGUGGACGAACCUCUGGUGUUCGGGUUGUGUCGCCAGACGCAUUGCCCGGUAGCUAAGUUCGGAAUUGAUAAGCGCUGAAAGCAUCUAAGCGCGAAGCGAGCCCUGAGAUGAGUCUUCCCUGACAGUUUAACUGUCCUAAAGGGUUGUUCGAGACUAGAACGUUGAUAGGCAGGGUGUGUAAGCGUUGUGAGGCGUUGAGCUAACCUGUACUAAUUGCCCGUGAGGCUUAACCAUACAACACCCAAGGGGUUUUGUA